UUUCCGUAGGUGAACCUGCGGAAGGAUCAUUAACGAGUUAGGGUCUUCUAGGCCCGACCUCCCAACCCUAUGUUUAUUAAACCUCUGUUGCUUCGGCGGACCCGUCUCACGACCGCCGGAGGAUCGCCGCGAGGCGUCCUCUGGCCAGCGUCCGCCGAUGGCCAACCACUUAAACUCUGAAUAAAUCGCGUCAUUAUGUCUAAGUCUUGAUUAAAUUAAAGCAAAACUUUCAACAACGGAUCUCUUGGUUCUG
rnacentral:misc_RNA from 1 species